rnacentral:tRNA from 1 species
AUAAAAUUUUAAGUUAAAUAAACUAUUAAUCUUCAAAAUUAAAUAUAUAUAAAUAAUAUAAAUUU